AGUGGGAUUAAUGGGUAAUACGGUAAGUGUACACUUUACUUUAUAAGAAACUGUCAAAUUUCUUUCCAAAGUGACUGGACCAUUUUGCAUUCCCAAUACCAGU
rnacentral:pre_miRNA from 1 species